rnacentral:lncRNA from 1 species
UAAACUCUAAACCCUAAACCUUAAAAAAUUAACCCUAAACACUAAAACAUCAACUCUAAACCCUAAACCCUAAACCUUCAACUCUAAACCCUAAACCCUAAAUCCUAAACCCUAAAACCCUAGAGUUGAUGUUUUAGGGUUUUGAUUUGAAGGUUUAGGGUUUUACGGUUUAGGGUUUAUGUUUAGGGUUUAGAUUUGAAGGUUUAGGGUUUUAGGGUUCGAAUUUCGGAAAAAUAGGGUUUAGGGUUUACGUUUAGGGUUUAGAGUUGAUGUUUCGGGGUUUAGGGUUAGAGUUGAUGUUUCAUGGUUUAGGGUUUAGAGUUGAUGAUUUAGGGUUUAAAGUUGAUGUUUUAAGUUUAGAUUUAGGGUUUAGGGUUUACGUUUUGAUAUUUUAGGGUUUAGAUUUGAAGGUUUAGGGUUUAAGAUUUAGAGUUGAUGUUUUAAGUUUAGAUUAGUUAAUCAUAUGU